ACCUGGGUAGCUCAGUUGGUUGAGCGUCUGACUUCGGCUCAGGUCAUGAUCUUGCCGUCUGUGGGUUUGAGCCCCACGUUGGGCU
rnacentral:tRNA from 1 species